GCAUCCAUUGUUAAAUGGUUAAAGCGUCCAACUCAUAAUUGGCGACUUCGUAGGUUUAAUUCCUACUGGAUGUA
rnacentral:tRNA from 1 species